rnacentral:rRNA from 1 species
AGAGUUUGAUCAUGGCUCAGAAUGAACGCUGGCGGCGUGCCUAAUACAUGCAAGUCGAGCGCCCCGCACCUUUUUUGUUUCUAUACGAUAAUCGUAUAGGUAUCAUUUUUUCGUUUUAUUAUUGUAAACGAAAAAAGGUGCGGGGAGCGGCGGACGGGUGAGUAACGCGUAGAAAUCUACCCCAAACUGAGGGAUAAGCCAGAGAAAUCUGGUCUAAUACCGCAUAUGGCCUUCGGGUUAAAGCUUCGGCGGUUUGGGAAGAGUCUGCGUAAGAUUAGCUAGUUGGUAAGGUAAAGGCUUACCAAGGCGACAAUCUUUAACUGGUCUGAGAGGAUGACCAGUCACACUGGAACUGAGACACGGUCCAGACUCCUACGGGAGGCAGCAGUAGGGAAUUUUCCACAAUGGACGAAAGUCUGAUGGAGCAACGCCGCGUGCAGGAUGACGGCCUUAGGGUUGUAAACUGCUUUUCUGUUCGAAGAAUAUGACGGUAGAACAGGAAUAAGGAUCGGCUAACUCCGUGCCAGCAGCCGCGGUCAUACGGAGGAUCCAAGCGUUAUUCGGAAUAACUGGGCGUAAAGAGUUGCGUAGGCGGUUUGUUAAGCGAGAUGUGAAAUCCCAAGGCUCAACCUUGGAACUGCAUUUCGAACUGGCAGACUUGAGAAUGUGAGAGGAAACUGGAAUUCCAGGUGUAGGAGUGAAAUCCGUAGAUAUCUGGAGGAACACCAAUGGCGAAGGCAGGUUUCUGGCACAUUUCUGACGCUGAGGCACGAAAGCGUGGGGAGCGAACGGGAUUAGAUACCCCAGUAGUCC